GGGCCCUGAGGCAGGGAAGCCUCCGCUUCCUCACAUGGGGGCGGGGGAGCUGGCGUCUUGUGUUGGGAAAAUAGAGACCAUGGGUCCACUCAGAACCACCCCCGCAUAGGUAUUCUUUCAGUUUUUGGAGCAGUAAAUGUUAUCUAGAAGUCCAGAGGAAGGAGAUACAGCUAAGUGGAAAAAGCAUACGAGGAGUGUGCAUGUCUUCACACAUUUUUGGAGUGUACUCACGGAGCAUGGAGCACACACAUGUAACCAGUGUGAAUGGGUAUGAACUAGGAGUGUUAGUGCUGUGUACACACCUGAGUACACACACAGGGCUUCUGUAUACAUGACUAUGUGAAGGAAGCCUAUGGAUUCAGGCACAUGUGUUUGUCUUUCUAGGGGUGUGUACGUAUAAGAAGAAUGUACAUUGUCUAUGUGAUGUGGGUCUGUGUGUAGUUUGUAUAUUCUGGGAAAACACGUCUUCAAAACCUGGGUGCAAAAGCAUGUCCAUUAUGAAGGCCUGCAUUAUUUGGGAAUAGGAAUCUGGUUUAUAUUUAUCCUCAGCACCUUCUUUAGCACCCAGGUAAUAAGUAGUUCUUGUUUUGGCUAUCGCCAUAGGCACUGCACAUAGGACAAGCGAGGCUGUCUAGAACAGGCUGUCCAUUUUGGCCUUGAGAAAGGCCUUUGAUUGGAACAGAGCAAGGCCAGGCUUGGAUGAGAAGUAUUUUCAACCCCCACAGAGCAAGCUGAGAGCAAGCUGUGGAGCAUGCGCUUUCAGAACCCCCGGACAGGACCUGGCAUGUGCGGGGUCCCAGGAUCACUGGUGACAGAUCUCCAUGAGCCUGGUGGGAUGAGGAAAUGAAGGAGGAACCUCAGAGGGUUCUGGACCGGAGAAACCCAUGUCCAGCCCCACAGGUGAUUCCUGGGGCCUAAUCUUCCUCAUCAUGGACCAGACUUGCUGGAACUGACUGCCUUCUCCCUGCCAGAGUGAGGAUUGAUGAGGCUGGUGGUCGUGUUUGUUUUGUGCCAUGAGGCACACAGGUGUACCUGCCCAGGCUCAUGUGUGCGUAUGCACUCGACAGGAAUGGCUGCAUCGAACCAGGCCAGGAAGGUGAUGCCCAGCUGCCAGGUCUCGGCCCUGUGAGAACUGGCAAGAAACUGUUGGUUUUAAGCUGAAACCAUUCAUUACACCACCUGUAGACCAUUUGCAAGACCAGUGGGGAACAUCAGGGACUCCCAUCUGGGACAUAUGGGCCACACUUGGAGAAACCCGGAGUUACUUGGAAUGCAUCCUUCCCUAUGGCAUCCUCAAGGUCAGAUGUGGGGGUCUAUGGAUUCCCCCCAACCAGCAGUGUUUGUCUACCACAUCCACCUAUGGCUUUUCCACAACUAGGUUGCUGUGAUGAUUGUCCCCAAAUUCUUUGAAUAUAUCUGGGCAUUUUGCGUGUGCCUUUUCUUCACAUGACGUGUUUUCCUCUUCCUACUCCCACUGGACCACAUAAGAAUAUAUGAUGAACAUACAUUUUCCACCUGGAAGGUACCAAUUGUAAGGCCAAGAGCAGCACAGUCUCCUGCCUUCAUAGUCACAGAGAGGUUCUGGUGCACCAGAUGUGAAGGCCACUGGACUUCUUCACAGCCCCCACCCCCAAGAUUGAUUUUAGUCCAGGGGUCUGGACUAGAAAACACUUUAAAUGUCAUCACUUUGUAAUGCACCUAGUGGUC
rnacentral:lncRNA from 1 species